UGAACGCCGCCUUCUGUGUGCCGCGCUUGUGCUGUCACCCAAAACCCAUCAUUGAAACACAUGUCCUUAAAUCCUUUGCUGGUACUCUUGGCUUUUGUCCCUGCCCUUGCAGUAGCCGCCCUAUCCUGCCUGGGUUUUCAUCUUUCCCUACCGCCUCUUUCUCCAAAAAUCCACGAUUUGUCUGUUUUCUAAGCUUGGCUUCUGUUUGAAAUCAACUGCAAGCCUUUAAAAAUAUCUAUGGGUUCCAUCCACUUCCAUAGAUUCAGGAGCAAUUGGUCUUUCGUGAUGUCUGGGCUUCGAAAGGUUCUCUGCGUGUGUUUAUUUUUGCUUUUUGUUUAGUAACCUAGCGAUUCUCACGCACAACUCACGAAGAAAUUCACUGUUAAAAGCGUCUAUUUUUGUGACCCUACCUAAACAUCGUUUUGCAGCUUCAUCUCUCGCAGAUGUGACAGAUGCUCAUGCUGAACCUAAGUUGAGCUGCAUUUGCCAGGACUCCAUCGAGAGAAACACCCCAAAACCCUUCUGGUGGUGUGCUGCCGUUUCUUUCUUGCUGCUUCCUAGGACUCAGGCUGAUAGGUAGAAUGAUGUCAGCUGAGACAUGCACGUGCUGAGGCAAGACAAGUGGCGAGGCAAGCCACAUGGAGAACACCGAUGUUUG
rnacentral:lncRNA from 1 species